rnacentral:rRNA from 1 species
CGGUAAUUCCAGCUCCAAUAGCGUAUACUAAAGUUGUUGCAGUUAAAAAGCUCGUAGUUGGAUUUCUGCGGGGACGGAGCGGCCGGACGCAACUUGCGUCUCGAGCUAGCGCUUUCCCCACAUCCUGCCGCGAACCGUGCUACCAUUAGCUUGGUGGCGCUGGGGAUCGGCUCGAUUACUUUGAGAAAAAUAGAGUGUUCAAAGCAGGCCACACGCCUUGAAUAAGUUAGCAUGGAAUAAUGACUAAGGACUUCGGUUCUAUUUUGUUGGUGUUCGGGACUGAAGUAAUGAUUGAUAGGGACAGUUGGGGCGGUCUGUAUUCCAAAGCGAGAGGUGAAAUUCUUAGACCUUCGGAAGACAAACAGCUGCGAAAGCGUUCCGCAAGGAUGUUCCCUUUGAUCAAGAACGAAAGUUGGGGGAUCGAAGACGAUCAGAUACCGUCGUAGUCUCAACUAUAAACUAUACCAGCUAGGGAUCGGCCAACGUUUAACUUUAUCGACUUGGUCGGCACCUUAUGAGAAAUCAAAGCAUCUGGGUUCCGGGGGGAGUAUGGUCGCAGGGCUGAAACUUAAGGGAAUUGACGGAAGGGCACCACCAGGCGUGGAGCCUGUGGCUUAAUUUGACUCAACACGGGAAAACUUACCAGGUCCAGACAUAGGAAGGAUUGACAGAUUGAUAGCUCUUUCUUGAUUCUGUGGGUGGUGGUGCAUGGCCGUUUUUAGUCGGUGAAGUGAUUUGUCUGCUUAAUUGCGUUAACGGACGAGACCCCAGCCUGCUAAAUAGCGCGGCCGAGCUUUGCUCGGUGCGAGCUUCUUAGAGGGACCAUGAUGCGCGAUAGCACAAGGAAGUUUGGGGCAACAACAGGUCUGUGAUGCCCUUAGAUGUUCUGGGCCGCACACGGGCUACACUGGCGCCUGCAACGAGCAUAUCAGCUGGCCCGAGAGGGUCUUGGCUAAUCUUUGGAACCGGCGCCGUGCUUGGGAUUGACCAUUGCAAUUGUUGGUCAUGCAACGAGGAAUGCCUUGUAAACGCGAGUCAUCAGCUCGCAUUGAAUACGUCCCUGCCCUUUGUACACACCGCCCGUCGCUCCUACCGAUGAAUGUUCCGAUGAAAUUUUCGGAGAGCGCCAGAGAACGGGGCUCUGCCUUGCAGAUCUGGAGGCUCAAAGUCACUUAAAUCUGAACAUUUCGAGGAAGGAGAAGUCGUAACAAGGUAGCCG